UGGGGAAUAUUGGACAAUGGGCGCAAGCCUGAUCCAGCCAUGCCGCGUGUGUGAAGAAGGCCUUAUGGUUGUAAAGCACUUUAAGCGAGGAGGAGGCUACUUUAGUUAAUACCUAGAGAUAGUGGACGUUACUCGCAGAAUAAGCACCGGCUAACUCUGUGCCAGCAGCCGCGGUAAUACAGAGGGUGCAAGCGUUAAUCGGAUUUACUGGGCGUAAAGCGCGCGUAGGCGGCUAAUUAAGUCAAAUGUGAAAUCCCCGAGCUUAACUUGGGAAUUGCAUUCGAUACUGGUUAGCUAGAGUGUGGGAGAGGAUGGUAGAAUUCCAGGUGUAGCGGUGAAAUGCGUAGAGAUCUGGAGGAAUACCGAUGGCGAAGGCAGCCAUCUGGCCUAACACUGACGCUGAGGUACGAAAGCAUGGGGAGCAAACAGG
rnacentral:rRNA from 1 species